rnacentral:tRNA from 1 species
GCCGGUGUGUCGGAAUUGGCAGACGAGACAGACUCACAAUCUGUUAUCCGCAAGGGUGUGUGGGUUCGAGUCCCACCACCGGCACCA